GGCGGUAUUCGGGUUUAUCUUGUAUUUGUGGUGCUAGGGGGAAAGUUUUUGGCAGACGUAUAAAAAGUGGUGUACAGUGAGUGGUGUUUCGCAACAGAAGGGAGGGUCCGUUCUCGUUAUGAUAUGUUCAUGAGUUAAUAACGCUAUUUCCGAGCGCUUCAACUCUAGGAAUUGAAGAAAAUAUGACCUGGAUGCACUCCUCCGGGGUUCGUCAUGGACGCCUUGAAGGUCGCCUGUGUUUGGCGGUCCUACUCGUCCUUCUCCAUCCUUUGGACCUCGUCGUCCUUUUGCUGUUGCUGGAUUUGUCCCACGAUCUUCGACUGUAGGUUAGCAAACAGCUCCUGCAGGGAAGCUUUGCCCGACGAUCCAGGGGAAGACUCUGUGGAGGCCGUGGAAGCGCGCGUGGACAUGCCACAUCGAAUAGUCAUCCCACUUCUGACACCAAUGUUACGUUUACAACGCUUUACUAAACGACAAAGAAACAGUUAUUAUAAAAGAAGGCGAUCGGUGAAACUUGCCAACCUCGGUUGUUCAACGUUGGAGGGCCUUCACCAGGAAACUAUCGCAGUGGUGUUGAAACUAUUCUUGGCGCGGCUGGUGCUUGUAAACAGAAGAUUUUAUUGCGCGACUAGCCCACGCAGAAUUUGAUGGAUCUCGGAAACAUUCCGGUCGCUUGACGAUCGAUUCCGUGGCGCGUCGAUGAAAAAUGAAGUACGCCCCGUUGAACAAUAACCAGUCUACCGGUCGAGUGACCAGCUGCUGCUCGCCCAUGGUGCCCAGCGAUUAUUAUUGGAGCUGAUUUAUCGUGUUGAUUCUGCACAGCCAGAAUUUCAUAGUUUCCUAGGAUCGAGCCGCGAACUGCGAUUCCGGGAUCCGCUACGAGAACAUGGUUUUGGACGUUCAAGGAUGAUUACUAG